AAACUUGAAAUCUUUGACCCAUGAAGGUUUACUUUGAAUUAAGCUAAUCAACGUUGAAUUUUCACCAGAACAAUCAUUUUGAGAUUUCAAAGUAUGCUAAUCAAGAGUUACAGUUUGUGUAGUUUGAGAAAAAUAAACGAAGAAAAAAGUCUCGAGUGUAUACUUCAAUUUGUCUUAAUUAGGUGAUUAGACCUCGGGAGAAACAUGGUUGACAUCCGCCAGGCAGGCGGAGAUCAGUUAACUACUCCUUAUCACUCCUCCUCAAAGUUCAAACGGUUUGAUUGAUCACCUUGUCGUCGAGCAUUUCUGUCACCCAAUUAUCAACUGCUAUCAUCGACAAUCAGAGACAGUAAUCAUUUUCAAAAACACGACAAUAUCAUAAAGGGACGGAAAUGUUGUCUAGGCAGUUGUUG
ensembl:ncRNA F08C6.15 ncRNA